AUUGAACGCUGUCGGCAGGCCAAACACAUGCAAGUCUAGCGAGCGGCGGACGGGUGAGUAAUGUAUGGGGAUCUGCCCGAUAGAGGGGGAUAACUACUGGAACCGGUGGCUAAUACCGCAUACUAUCGGAUGAACCCAUAUGGGAUUAGCUAGUAGGUGGGGUAAAGGCUCACCUAGGCGACGAUCUCUAGCUGGUCUGUGCGGAUGAUCAGCCACACUGGGACUGAGACACGGCCCAGACUCAUACGGGAGGCAGCAGUGGGUAAUAGUGCACAAUGGGCGCAAGCCUGAUGCAGCCAUGCCGCGUGUGUGAAGAAGGCCUUCGGUUUGUAAAGCACUUGCAGCGAGGAGGCGUUACUCGCAGAAGAAGCACCGGCUAACUCCGUGCCAGCAGCCGCGGUAAUAC
rnacentral:rRNA from 1 species